rnacentral:rRNA from 1 species
UACGGAGGAUCCGCGCGUUGUCCGGAUUUAUUGGGUUUAAAGGGUGCGUAGGCGGCCUAUUAAGUCAGGGGUGAAAGACGGUAGCUUAACUAUCGCAGUGCCUUUGAUACUGAUAGGCUUGAAUGUACUUGAGGUAGGCGGAAUGUGACAAGUAGCGGUGAAAUGCAUAGAUAUGUCACAGAACACCAAUUGCGAAGGCAGCUUACUAAAGUAUGAUUGACGCUGAGGCACGAAAGCGUGGGGAUCAAACAGG